CCCUGCCAUUUGUACACACCGCCCGUCGCUGCUACCGAUUGGAUGAUCCGGUGAAAUCCUCGGAUAAUGAUAAAUACUUUACUUUGUAAAGUUUAUCGUUAGAAGUUGAUUAAACCUUAUCAUCUAGA
rnacentral:rRNA from 1 species